rnacentral:rRNA from 1 species
ACCGUGAAAAAAUUAGAGUGUUCAAAGCAGGCAGAUCCAAUUUUCUGCCACCGAAUACAUUAGCAUGGGAUAAUGGAAUAGGACCCUGUCCUCCUAUUUUCAGUUGGUUUUGGCAGCGCGAGGACUAGGGUAAUGAUUAAUAGGGAUAGUUGGGGGCAUUAAUAUUUAAUUGUCAGAGGUGAAAUUCUUGGAUUUAUGAAAGAUUAACUUCUGCGAAAGCAUCUGCCAAGGAUGUUUUCAUUAAUCAAGAACGAAAGUUAGGGGAUCGAAGACGAUCAGAUACCGUCGUAGUCUUAACCAUAAACGAUGCCGACCAGCGAUUAGGAGACGUUGAAUACAAAACACCACCAUCGGUGCGGUCGUCCUUGGCGUCGGUUUUCGGCCGGCGCGGGGGCG